UUCACUCUCCACUCCGAGGCUCAGGGAGCAAGUGCUUGGUGUGGGGGGGAAAGUUGGCUUUUUUUUUUUUAACUCCUCGAUCCUUUGCGCCUUUUCCCCUCUUCCCCAGAAGAGAAGACCCGUAUAAACUAUUUUAGACGCAAUCAAGCAAGAAUCACCAUGUGGAAUUGAGCGGCAGUUUUAAAUGUACUAAGGAGAGCAAUGAUCUGAUUUUUUUUUUUUCUUGGAGACGCCAAAAGGAACCUGUUUGUGUGCUGUGACCGUGGUGCGGUGUGACUGGAUCUUGUCUUCUAACUGGGGCCUCGAUUGCUGUCCGGCUGGAUUUUGGGGCAACACCGCCUGGCGCUGAGAGAUCAAAUGUGACUGCAAAGAAGCAUAAAACGAGUAGACUAUCCAACCAACCAAAGACCGGGGGCAGCAGCACGCCAGCAAGACUGCAUCUUCGCCUCCCCAGCCUAGAAGCCCCGUGAAAUCGAGGAUCUUCCCCCUAAAACACUCACAUACAAGAUAUGUGCAAUCAAGCUGCCACCACUUGGUAAAAAGCCCAUGAUGCCUAACCCAAAAGCAUCGGGAGCAGAUCCUUGAAUCAGCUGUCACUUCUAUAGAAUGGGAUUUUUUUUUCCCCUUCCUCCUUAACCUGCGCUGGAAAUUGCUGUUGGCUUUAUACAUCUCUAUAGAGGAAAGCUAAAGCGUCUUGCGUGAGAAUGAAGCAAUUUACAAUGCAAAUAGAGGCCUGUGAAGGGAUGGAUGCUGCUGCUCACUCUAACAGACUGCUGCACCUUAAUAGCUGGUUUUAUUUUCUAAUAUUAAUAGAUGAAUUGUUGGCCAUCGCUGCCGGAGAUUACUUGCUGAAAGGGGAAAAAAAGUUUGGAAUAAACUCUGAAGGCAACAGAUCUUAUUUGGAUGUUUUAGCUGCGCACAUACACAAACAGAAACCAGGUCAUAAUUACAUAAAAGGAGGAAUCUUAAACCCUGCGAGUAUCCUGGAGGACUACUCUUCGUACUUCCAGAAGGAACCGGGAUUUGGAGCCUGGCAAGAGGAAGACACAGGCAUGUGAGGGAAGCGAGUUGUUAUCUUUGGUUAUCUAGCUGUAUGAGUGUAUUGGUCUUCAUAAAGCUAGAUAACCGAAAGUAAAAACUCCUUCAAGAUCGACGGGGACCAUGUGAGAAUGAAAGACUACAACCAAGAGACAGUAAAAACCAGAAAGGUCAGGAAUACUUAUUGAAUCUAACUUUGUUUUUGCUUUUUUUUUUUUCUUUCCUUAUGAUUAAAGGUGGGAUGAAAGGAAAUUAGGUGACACGCAUAUGCGAAAAUAUAAAGGUGCUAGGAUUUGAGAGGUGUUACAGCUGCAAAGGAGAAUUGUAUAGUACUAAUGAGUAAAGAUGCAUGUACAAUUUGUUCUAUUUUUAAGAAAAAAGUUUACAUACAAGGAUUUUUUUUUUCUUAGAAAGCUGUUGUAGAGAUGUCAGAUGCCUGGUUUAAGAAUGAUUCCGUAAUUAUGUAGAUUUGGGCAAUUCCCUUCUGUGCCCCUCCCCCCAAAUUUGAAGACUGUGCUUGGAACCUACUUUAAAUCUAUUUGGGCCGAACAUCAAAUUCUAUGAAAUUAGACUUUCAGAAAAGUUUAUACUGGAAUCUUAAUAAAUUAUAUCUACUAAGGACUUAGAACUAGCAGGGAAAAUGAAAAACAGAAGCAAAGGCUGAUUUUUAUUCUUCUAUUCAGAAUACAAGGACAGAUGCUUCUCUGUUCCAAGAGGGUUUCCUUGAGGAAGCUACUGAAGCAGAAAGACAUGAUGGAGACGAGAUCGCCUCCCCUCUUGUCAAAGUGUUAAAAAAAUGUUCUGUCUUACUCUGCGCCUAGCAUUGGAAAUGAAAGUGACAUUUACGCCACAACCCACGUGUGCGCCUCCUCUCUUUUUGUUUAAGGAUGAUCAGGUCUAUCCAGGAAACAGCUCUGGCAUCCCAAACUGAAAUAAUUAGGACGUAUAUAGACCUGACAAAAAUGGAAAGGGGGUGGGGAAUCUGAGGGUCUGUCUUGCCUAAUUGAUUCCGCUAAACGGAAUGCAGGAGAUGUGAACGGCAGGACGCUCCGAUUCCCACGCUCGGGGGCAAGUGGUAAAGCGGGCGGCAGCCUAUGACAGACAGCCCUGUUGGGGGGUAGGGGUAUGAAAAAAACAUCAAGUGCACACACCAUACUCAUCUCCAUCGCUUAAGAAAGUAAAGGCAUUUCCCACCCACAGCCAUCUGCAGCCUCCCAAAUGGCAACUGCCAACUGGUCUGAAGCUGCUGCAUACUGUUUGUUUCUGUUAAUUUUUUAGCCAUUGUUCAAUCUGGCCUUGAUUAAGUUUGGUUUUCUUCUUUGUUUAAGAUUUUCACCAUUUAAGGAAAAGUAGUAGAAAUCCAUUUCAAGAAUGUCCCAUUAGCUACCUGCCCUUCACAAGAAAUUCUCACUCUGUGCUCAGGGCCUUGUGACCACCUUUUGGCUUUUGUUUUGGCUGGGCUAUAUUUUAAAGUACAUUUGGCUGUUUUGCAAUCAUUUUUAAGACUUUCGGCUGUUUACCUGUUAAUAUGACACACCAAGGAACUUGGUUUGCUUAUGCUAAUUAGAUAUACACUGGAAAUAAAAUUAUAAAGUCACCAACCUAUAGAAAGUUGGUUACAAUAAAUAUGUGAUAAAAGGUUGUUUUGGAAUAGUCCUAGCUAGAUGUGUCUUCAACAGUCAUUUUUAUUUAACCUAAAAAUAACUGCCUCACUUAAACUGGGGUUUUUAGAGGUCCCUAUUGUAAUCCUUUCCUAAAAGUCACCCUUUUGUCACGUGUCACCAAGCCCACAUUUGUAUAGGCAUUACACAUAAAUACAACAUUGCAAUAAGAAAGUGUCCAAAAUAGCCUGUUAUCUUCCACAUGGUCUAGGUUACUGACACUCCCAAAUACAUAAUUUUUCUCCAAAGAUAGUCCCUUUUGCUUUGUAGCUACAACUCCUCCUAGGAUUGCAGACUCAAAAGCCUGUAAAGUCACUGUUAGUGUCAUUUAGAAGCUCUGAGAGACUUUAUUAACGUAAAUUCUCAACUUGGCUGCUGAGCACGUGCCAAAGUUUUACUACAGUAGUGACCGUUGAGAAGACCCUUGUUUAUUUACAUUUGAAGCACUGUUUGUGCAAACAACCUUUCAUUGUUAAGUGCCUGUGUUCCUUUCAUUUACUUCAUGUCCAGGGGUGCUAUUUACCUAGAACCAUUGUCUACUACAAUUAACAUUUACAUUACAAAGUGUGUGGUUUUCUUUCUCAAGGAGGUUCAAUUAAGGCAAUAAGAUGUUUGCUGGGGAAACCUAUUGUUUACUGAAAGCACUCAAUGGAGUCAAAUUACUAAAGCUUUUGCCUACAUCUUGGUCUUUUAUGUAAAUAUGUUAAAUAUAACAGCUAAGGAAAAUAAACAAUAUUAAAUUAUGUGUUUGCCAUUGUCAUAUCAAACUUGCUUUGUAUCAUACUAAUGUUACAUAACUUAUCGAUCAAUAAAAAUACAUUUCAGUGUUA